CGUAGGGUGCGAGCGUUGUCCGGAUUUAUUGGGCGUAAAGAGCUCGUAGGUGGUUUGUUGCGUCGGGAGUGAAAACACACGGCUUAACUGUGUGCUUGCUUUCGAUACGGGCAGACUUGAGGAAGGUAGGGGAGAACGGAAUUCCUGGUGGAGCGGUGGAAUGCGCAGAUAUCAGGAGGAACACCGGUGGCGAAGGCGGUUCUCUGGACCUUUCCUGACGCUGAGGAGCGAAAGCGUGGGGAGCGAACAGGCUU
rnacentral:rRNA from 1 species